UUCGAAAUGUAUAUAAUCAUUGCUUUUUUCCCCCCUCUCUCCGCACGUUUCGCAGUCAUGUGCCAACGGCGCCCCCUGUGGAGAGACACAGUACGUCAGCGUCAGCAUCAGGGCUCGCGUGACCUGGAUUUAAUUCACCCACCAGCGCGUCGGCAGAGAUUUGCCUGGAACCAGGAAUUCUUACAAGCUACUAAAGAUUUGAGCAUAAUUUAUUACAACAACAGCGGGGAGAACACAACGAGGUGGCUCCAGAACACGAGAACCCUUUAGACAUGUGGAAACUGUAGCUCAGGUCAUUACAUUAUUAAAGACUCGUAAACUAAAGCCAAGCAUACAAUCAAAGCAUUCCUGUCAUGCUUGUAAAUGCAGAGCACAAAUUUGUAUGUGUGUGUAUGUGUGUGUGUGAGUGUGAGGUGGUUGACUUUACUGCGCACCUUUUGAGGACUUCAGCAAGAGUAUGUUCUCACUGAUGCUGACUCGCCCCUUGGAGAAACUGCAGAGAAAGAGAAGAAGAGAGUCACGGACGGAGUGGAUAUGGCAGAGGCGCGGAAGUUAGCAGGCAGCGUCUCUGAAGAAUCUGAGGUCACUCCUCUCAGGUCCUUCUCACGGAACAUCUUCCUCCAGGACGGAGAGCGAGUGAACGUCUUGGUGCCGUCCUGAGAGAGAGAA